rnacentral:misc_RNA from 1 species
GAUCAUCCCAAUAAGGAUCUAGACAUUCUCUGUGACCAAUGCAGUGUGCGUUUAUGCUCCAAGUGUUCUACAAUGCCUGUCCACAAGGGGCAUUCCUUUACUGACUUGGAGAAAAUUUAUACAGAAAAAUCUGCAGCAUGUCGUCAGGAAAUCCAAAGAAUUCAAACCUACUUCAUUCCAACGACAAAAGAUUUGCAAAGUGAAAUAAAAAUAGAUGCCACAGAAAUAAAAACAAUCAUGGAUGACAUCAGAUCAUCAAUGAAGGAUGAGGGCAAGUGUCUCAAAACACUGGUGGAUGAAGUGACAUCGGAUAAUUUAGAAAAAGUCAACAAAAUGGAAGAGUCACUAAGGGAGAUGCUUCAGAGUCAAAACAAAACAUACCAAGAUUACAUCUCUUAUCUUAUGGACCUUCUCGAAAAGUUCCGUGGCUACCUGUCCUCUUCUCAACUUAAAAACAAUCCCAUCAUUUUCUCACUUACUGAACACUUAAAAAUCCAACCCAUACCAGAGACAACUAAACCAGUCUCUCCAGUAUUUACUGCUGGUCGAUACAGCAAGGGGGAUGUUGCCAAACUACUGGGUAGAAUAACUGUUCCCGACACUAAACCAGAGAACAGAAAAAUAAAACCUAUGGACACUGCCUCUACACAGUUGAAACCUACAGUGAAACAGAACAAAUCUGACGUAAAACCAACACUGUCUCUGUCUUCCUCUGUCACCAAGGUCAGGAAGUACACAGUAUCAGGUGUUGAUCGUGUAUAUCACCUGUCUCUGGGUAAAUCGGGCAGACUGUGGGUCAGUGAUAAAGAUGGUAACCUUGUCCAAACAGAUCUACAGGGGAAUCAGCUACAUAAGAUACAAACCAAUGGUAAAGAUGAAGGCUACCACACAGUCACACAGACAGAGGAUCUGAUCUAUACAGACAGAAACAACAAAGUCAUCAACAGGAAAACACCGGAUAAUACAAUCACUGAAUUAAUUAAAACGAGAGACUGGACACCGAUCAGCAUACACUCCUCUCACAUCAACAGGGACAUACUGGUGGGGAUGGUCAAGCCUGGAGAGGCUAAAGUCACCAGGUACAUCAAGACAAGGAGAGAAAUACAGAACAUACACAGUCACAACGAAGGACAGGCAAUGUUUAGUGGACCACACUACAUCACAGAAAACACCAAUGGUGAUGUCUGUGUAUCAGACUGGAAGAAAGAAGCUGUAGUGGUGGUGAAUAAAUCAGGAAAACACAGGUUCUCCUAUACAGGUCAGGGGCUAUCAAAGUUUUAUCCCAAGGGAGUGUGUACUGAUCACCUGGGACACAUACUGGUCUGUGAUCAUCACAGUGACACAGUUCAUCUUCUGGAUCCGGACGGUCAGUUCUUGUGUCUACUCCUCACACAACAACAAGGGAUAAAGUAUCCCAGUAGUUUGUGUGUGGAUGAUGAGAGCAAUCUUAUUGUGGGACAACGUGACACCAACACAGUGACAGUGUACAAGUAUCUACAGUGAUGAUGCAAUGUUACACUAACAACAUGAUGAUACUGUUUACUUGUAUUAAUUUACUGUUAAACUACAUUUACAUGACCCUAUUGAAUGUAUUUUUAUAUACCAUGUAGCAAAAAAAAAUUAAACAGAUAAUUU